UCUCCUAUACUCAAAAAUUAAAUAAUAAAAAAAAAACUAAAACUAAACUAAAAGCCUGCUACCUCUAACCCAGCCGCCGCCAUCCUCCACUUCUGCCGCCGCGCCCUCCUCUUCUCUCUCCGCCGCUGUCCUUAGACGAACCCACGUUGGAGGACGGGUCGAAGAGAUCCAUUCCUCCGAGACGAACGACGAACAGAUCCAUCUGCUCGUUCGUUGAAAGCGGCUGCGGGAGAGGAGGAGGCCUCAGCGGCUGAUUAUCUUCUCCGUUGGUUCCUCUAUCUCCUGCUCAGCUCAUUUGGUGAGAAUAAGUUAAAGGAUAGUGAAAUUGAUAUGAAAGACUGGAAAAAGUAAAAUCAUAACUGCCAUGGGGCCGACCAUUCCGAGACUAUAGAAAAAUUUGCUUCUGGAUGUGGAAUAAAUCGUUACUAUUUCAAAAUGCUAUUGUUGAUGGCUACUGCUGCUUCUUCAUCUUCAACGACUCUUGAAUCAAAGAAGUACAACGUAUUCAUUAGUUUCAGAGGUGCAGAUAUUCGAGAUGGAUUUCUGAGCCAUCUUCACCAGUCACUGCUUCAGCACCAAGUCAAUGCUUUUGUGGAUGACAAGCUUGAGAGAGGAAAAGAAAUCACAUCAUCGCUAUUGGAAAUUAUUGAGAAAUCAUAUGUUUCACUUGUCAUUUUCUCCACCAAUUAUGCGGAUUCUCCAUGGUGUUUGGACGAGCUUGUCAAAAUACUUGAAUGCCUACAGAACAAGAAGCAGAUCGUCUUGCCGGUCUUUUACCGUGUGGAUCCAAGUCAUGUUCAAGACCUGACCGGGAGUUACGGAGAUGCAAUUGCUAAGCAUACGCAAGAAUUCAGUCACUGUUUGGAUAAGGUCAAGAAUUGGAGUCAUGCUUUGAUGGAAAUCGCCAACUUAUCAGGCUGGGAUUCACGGAAUACUAAGUCUGAGUCUAAGCUGGUAAAAGAAAUUGUAAGUUAUGUUUUGGAGAAAUUAGACCAUGUAACUCCAAGGGAUUUUUGCAAUGAUGGCCUAGUUGGAAUUGAUUCAUGUAUCAAGGAUGUUCAUUCAUUACUGUGCCUCGAGUCAAAAGACAUUCGAACUAUUGGUAUUUGGGGAAUGGGUGGUAUAGGCAAAACCACUGUUGUUGAUAAGCUCUAUAGUCAAAUCUAUAACAAAUUCCCACAUCGAUGCUUUGUCGCAAAUGUAAGGGAGAAAUUAGAAAACUCUAACAAGGAUAGUCUACAAAGUGAAAUUCUUUCUGCAAUACUAGGCAAAGAGAAUCUAAAUACAGGAAUACCCAUCAUGUUGAACUCCUUUGUCCGGAGAAGGCUCUCCCAAGAAAAAGUUCUUAUCAUUCUUGAUGAUGUGAGUGAUUUGGAUCAAAUAGAAUGCUUAGUAGGAAGUGACGUUAUGUAUGGUUCAGGCAGUAGAAUCAUUAUAACAAGUAGGGAUAAACAAUUGCUCAAGAAUGUGGGUGCUAGAAUAUAUGAAGUUAAGAAACUAAACUACUAUGAAGCUCUUCAUCUCUUUAGCUUGCAUGCCUUUAAAGAAAAUUCUAUAAAGAAAGAAUACAUGGAGUUGUCACGCACGGCGAUUGAUUAUGCUCAAGGCAUUCCAUUAGCUCUUAAAGUACUGGGGUCCAAUUUGUAUGAUAAGAAUAUACAAAUAUGGGAAGAUGAGUUAGAGAAACUCAAAAGUUGUUCUAAUAAAAAAGUUUUAAAAAUUUUAAGAAUAAGUUACGACGGACUAGAUGAGAAAGAAAAGGAUAUAUUUCUUGAUAUCGCGUGUUUUUUUAAAGGACAUGACAAAGAUAACGUGACAAAUAUAUUAAAUGGUUGUGGUUUCUUUGCAAAAUCUGGAAUAAGCCUUCUCAAUGACAAGUGUCUUAUAACAGUUUCAAGUGACAACAAGUUAGGCAUGCACGACUUGUUACAGAAAAUGGGGAAUGACAUUGUUUCAGAAGAGAAAGAACUCGGUAGACAUAGCAGGUUGUGUAAUCCCAAAGAUAUAUAUAAAGUAUUGGCAAGAGAUAUGGGGACUACAAGUGUUGAAGGCAUUUUAUUAGACAUGUCCCAGAUCAGAUAUCUGAAUUUAAGUUCUACAGCUUUUGCAAAGUACUGCAAUCUUAGGAUUCUCAAAUUCUAUGCGAAGAAUUACUUUGAAGAGAACAAAAUUCUUCUUCCUGAAGGCCUUGAAUAUUUUCCUGAUGAGUUGAGAUUUCUCCAGUGGGAUAAAUUUCCUUUAAAAUGUUUGCCACUAAAAUCAUGUCUUGAAAAUCUUGUCGAACUUCACAUGCCCAAAAGCCAAAUCAAGCACCUCUGGACUGAAGAUCAGACACUUCCAAAUUUAAAAGUGAUUGACCUCGAACGCUCUAUGGACCUUGUCCAUAUUCCUGACCUGUCUACAGUCCCAAACCUUGAGGUUUUGUAUUUGCGAUUUUGUACAAGUUUGGUUGAAAUUCCAAUGUCUAUCCAAAAUUUAAGCAAGCUUACUCGAUUGGUUCUCUCAAUGUGUAAAAGUCUUCAUAGUUUACCGAGCUGCCUUCCUUCGAGUAUAAAAUUCCUACAAUUAUCUGGAACUCGAAUAAAGCAAUUGCCUCCGUCAAUUGGAUAUCUCUCUCAUCUGGAUAGUCUUUCAUCCAAACAGUUGGAGAGUAUUCCAUGUAGCAUUGGUCAGCUGACAUGUCUCAGAUCACGCAGAUUGGUCGGAUGCUCAGAUUGGUCUGAUGCUCAAAAUCACUCAGAUCACUCAGCUGACAUAAAUCUGAAAUCACUUACACAUCUUUCUUUGAUGGGCUGUGUGAUUCUGAAUGAAUUGCCAGAGAACUUGGGAAAUUUAGAAUCUCUGGAAGAAUUGGAUAUAGCAGAUAGCGGUAUAAAAAAGUUGCCAUCUUCCAUCAAUCAGUUGAGGCAAUUGAGCUACUUAAAUUGCUCCGGGUGUAAAGGUUUAGUAGUGCCUCCUUUGACAAAUUUGCCUUGUCUAACAACUAUGCAUCUAAGUUGCUGUGGUUUCUUAGAAUUUCCCAACAUCCUUUGCUCUCUUAAGUCGUUGGAAGAAUUAGUUUUAGAUGGAAACGAUUUUGAGAUCAUACCUGCAAGCAUCACGCAGCUUUGUAAUCUAAGAUUACUCAGUGUAGAAGAUUGCAAAAGACUUCACUGUAUACUAGGUCUUCCAUCGUCUUUGAAUGAUUUAUGUGCAAGAAACUGCGUGUCUCUGGUAUCAGCAUCAUCUUCCAUCUUAUCAACAGAACAAUGUUGGUUAUACAUUUCUGAUUUUGGCAAGGGCAUGAAAUUAUAUGAGGCAGCAUGUCAUGAACUUAUGGAUGAUGUAUUGAGUACACAUCAGGACAAUUACGGAGUUCCUGGUCUAUAUAUUGCCGAAAGUGACCUGCUGCAGUGGAUGAGGCAACAGAAUGAUAAUGUACCUUAUUUGUCGUUCGACCUGUGGUCUAUUGACUUGAUCGGUUUCUCUUUUUGUGUUAUUGUAGCAUCUCAAGUAUAUCCGGGUCGUGGAUUAUUCAACAUUGGAUGUACAGCAACUUUUACUAAUGACUUUGGACAUAGCGUUGAUGAAACUUUCUUUCUGUAUGGAGAUGAAAGUCGUGCAAUGGAUUUUCAAUCGGACAAUGUAAUCCUCUGGCGUGAUCCAAUCUUUGAUUCCUGGCUCCGUUUCAGCAACGGCUCUUUACGAUUCUUCCUUAAGUAUUCAACAAAUGAGGCGGUGAUAAGCAAGUGCGGCGUUUAUCCAAUAUUUGGCCGGAUAAAAGCUGACGAUUAUCCAAUAUUCAACUGGCGAAAAGCUGAUGAGAAUGAUGAGAUGGAUAUGGAGGAGGAACCUCCUAGUAAGAAAUUUAAAGAGAGCGAAGAAUUAAAAUGAGACCCAAGUGUUGAAAUGUCCUCAUCUUGCUGAUGUAUUGAUGGUAAACAUAUUAUGUUCACUUUGAUGAUGGUCACUGUCUGUUGGAAGUUGCUUUCCUUUGCGUCUUCUCUAUCUCUUCAUGGAUUUGCUCUCUCAUUAACUCGCCCGGCGUCUAACAGUGAGAGCAGUGGAACAGCAGUGACAGUUCAGGAAGCUAAUGGAAGAAGGGAAAUCGUGGGUGAAGAAAGUUGAAGACCUUGUGUAACUUCUAUCAUUAAUCCACUUUCUAGUUAUUCAGUACUGCUUGAAUUCUCUUUUGCGUGUAUUUCUGUGGUUUCAUAAAUCAGUAACUUUUGUAUGCAAUCAUGGAGAUGGUUUAUAAUAGAUCACAAAUAGGUGUUAAUUGUGUGGUAUUAUUUGGAAAAUAAGAUGAAAAAAAGCUUCACUUUCUUUGUGAAGCUUCCGAAGCUGCAGGGUCAACUUUUUUAGAGUUUUACUUCUUCAUGUAACUUUCUUUCAUUUAAAUUAAAUGAAAAACCCAAGAACUGAAAGAAGAUUACGCUAGUGCUAGUAGGGAUACUAUGAUUACUAGCCAGAUGCAGUUUGAAAUUCUAUUGUAUGGUGUGGAAGUCUUCAUAGUUUAUCAGCAGUACAUGUUGUAUUGAUUUUCUUGUGCAGGACAAUUACGGAGUUCCUGGGCUAUAUAUUGCCAUAAGUGAUUGGCUGCUGAGGAUGAGGCAUCAGAAUGAUAGUGUACCUUGUUCGUCGUUCCAUAUGAGGGCUUGGGACUUGAUUGGUUUCUCUUUUUGUGUUAGUGUAGCAUCUAAAGUAUAUCCUCAUCAUGGAUUAUUCAACAUUGGAUGUACAGCAACUUUUACUAGUGACUUUGGACAUAGCGUUGAUGAAACUUUCUUUCUGUAUGGAGACCAAAGUCGUGAAAUGGAUUUUCAAUCGGACAAUGUAAUCCUUUGGCGUAAUCCAAUCUUUAAUUCCAGGCUCCGUUGCAGCAACGCUUCUUUACGAUUCUUCCUUCAGUAUUCAACCAGUGAGGCGUUGAGUAGCAAGUGCGGCGUCUAUCCAAUAUUCUGCUCUAGUGUUUGAUAUUUUGGUAAAUAACGUUCUGUUUAUAUCUUCUAAUCUAUCAAUAUUUGUGGGAAAUCAUUGGAUGGCUGCGAGUAUAUGUGAGUUUGUAUCUAAACUGUGGUGACCAAUCAAGACUUGAUGGCAUCCUCUCGUCCUGCUAAGAUUGUUUCCUUUCCCGUGGGGGUCUGUAUCAAUUUGAUUACAGCGUUUCAUCAGCUAUAUUUCUUACUAAAGCUCGAGGAGGUACAUGUAUGCUUGCUGCUUCUGAUCCACCAGAAGAUGUUCUUCAUCGAGCUUCAUUCCUCCUCGAAAAUGGCUUUGGCAUCUAUCACAUUUUGAAAAGCAACUGUGAAGAUUUCGCGAUCUAUUAUAAGAUGGGUCUUCUAGUUUUCGCAAGCAUCAGCGUUGGUCGAAGUGGGCAGGCAGCAACCUUAUUAGCCGCUGCCAGUGCUGUCGUAUCUUCACUGCUGCGAUUCUUAACUACCAGCUCCGAUGGACUGGCAGCUGUGGGGUAAUACUAUGUACUCUGUCAGCCGGCUUGUUUUCUGAUAUUGGAAUACAUUGUACCUUAGAAAAAUUCCGGCUAAUGCGGCUAAGGAGCAAUAGUCUUAUUUAACAACAGCAUAUUGUAUGGACUGAUACAAGUACAUGAAUUCAAUUUGACCAUGAAUAUUUAUGGUGCAAUGCAUAAGCUAAAACUUACGGUUUACUCAGACUUUGAAGUUUAAGCUGUGCUUGUGCUUCCUUCUGUUCAUGUUCAAAUUGCAGAAUGUUAUGUCUUAUUGUAAUUAGUUUGUGUAAUGGCUAAAGAUGGCCUUCUCAGACU